UACGGGGGGGCAAGCGUUGUUCGGAAUUACUGGGCGUAAAGCGCGUGUAGGCGGCUCGGAAAGUCGGGUGUGAAAGCCCUGGGCUCAACCCAGGAAGUGCACUCGAAACUUCCAAGCUUGAGUUUGGAGAGGAAGGCGGAAUUCGUCGGUGUAGAGGUGAAAUUCGUAGAUAUCGAGAGGAACACCGGUGGCGAAGGCGGCCUUCUGGACAGUGACUGACGCUGAGACGCGAAAGCGUGGGAGCAAACAGG
rnacentral:rRNA from 1 species